rnacentral:rRNA from 1 species
UAGGGAAUCUUCCACAAUGGACGAAAGCUGAUGGAGCAACGCCGCGUGAGUGAAGAAGGUUUUCGGAUCGUAAAGCUCUGUUGUUAGGUGAAGAAGGAUAGAGGCAGUAACUGGUCUUUAUUUGACGGUAAUCAACCAGAAAGUCACGGCUAACUACGUGCCAC